rnacentral:rRNA from 1 species
GAUGAACGCUAGCGGCAGGCUUAACACAUGCAAGUCGAGGGGUAUUGGUUUUCGGACCAAGAGACCGGCGCACGGGUGCGUAACGCGUAUGCAAUCUACCUUUUGCAGAGGGAUAGCCCCAGAGAAAUUUGGAUUAAUACCUCAUAGUAUAGUACUUUGGCAUCAAGGAACUAUUAAAGUCACAACGGCAAAGACGAGCAUGCGUCCCAUUAGCUAGUUGGUAAGGUAACGGCUUACCAAGGCUACGAUGGGUAGGGGUCCUGAGAGGGAGAUCCCCCACACUGGUACUGAGACACGGACCAGACUCCUACGGGAGGCAGCAGUGAGGAAUAUUGGACAAUGGGCGCAAGCCGUGAUCCAGCAAUGCCGCGUGCAGG